UACAGAGGUGGCAAGCGUUGUUCGGAAUUACUGGGCGUAAAGGGCGCGUAGGCGGUUGCCUAAGUCGGACGUGAAAUCCCCAAGCUUAACUUGGGAACUGCAUCUGAUACUGGGUGACUUGAGUUCGGGAGAGGAAUGUGGAAUUCCAGGUGUAGCGGUGAAAUGCGUAGAUAUCAUCCGGAACGCCUGUGGUGAAGACGACUCGCUGGGGAUUUGCUGACGCUGAGACACGAAAGCCAGGGGAGCAAACGGG
rnacentral:rRNA from 1 species